CAGUCGCCGCGGGAAUACGAAGGGGGCUAGCGUUACUCGGAAUUACUGGGCGUAAAGGGCGCGUAGGCGGCGCACCAAGUUAGGCGUGAAAGUCCUGGGCUCAACCUGGGAACUGCGCUUAAGACUGGUGUGCUUGAGGAUGGAAGAGGGUUGUGGAAUUCCCAGUGUAGAGGUGAAAUUCGUAGAUAUUGGGAAGAACACCGGUGGCGAAGGCGGCAACCUGGUCCAUUACUGACGCUGAGGCGCGACAGCGUGGGGAGCAAACAGGAUUAGAUACCCGGGUAGUCCCUGUCUCUUAUAC
rnacentral:rRNA from 1 species